rnacentral:rRNA from 1 species
AGUGAACGCUGGCGGUAGGCCUAACACAUGCAAGUCGAACGGCAGCACAGUAAGAGCUUGCUCUUACGGGUGGCGAGUGGCGGACGGGUGAGGAAUACAUCGGAAUCUACUUUUUCGUGGGGGAUAACGUAGGGAAACUUACGCUAAUACCGCAUACGACCUACGGGUGAAAGCAGGGGAUCUUCGGACCUUGCGCGAUUGAAUGAGCCGAUGUCGGAUUAGCUAGUUGGCGGGGUAAAGGCCCACCAAGGCGACGAUCCGUAGCUGGUCUGAGAGGAUGAUCGGCCACACUGGAACUGAGACACGGUCCAGACUCCUACGGGAGGGAGCAGUGGGGAAUAUUGGACAAUGGGCGGAAGCCUGACCCAGCCAUACCGCGUGGGUGAAGGAGGCCUUCGGGUUGUAAAGCCCUUUUGUUGGGAAAGAAAAGCAGCAGGUUAAUACCCCGCUGUUCUGACGGUACCCAAAGAAUAAGCACCGGCUAACUUCGUG